AAAAAAAACAUAGAAAAAAAUAGCAAAAUUAUUAAAUUUAUACAAAAUAUUGACAAGGAACUGUCACUUUAACAUAGAAAUAAAACUUUAAUUUUUUUUAAUUGUUCCUUUUGUUUCAUUGGUGAUGCAAAACUAUUUUAACCUAACUUAAACUUCAAAAGAAAAGAAUAAAUUAUAAACCACCAUGAAGUACGGAAGAGGAUAAGGGUCACUGAGAAAAAAAAUAGGACAGUUCUGACUUUAAUCUCAGAAUUCUGACUUUAAAAUUUAUGGGCACCGGGGAGAAGAACCAUCUUUCAAUGACCAACAUGCUAGUUGUGCUGAAGGACAACCAAAUAUCUGGCGGAACAUGUUGGAUUUAAGUCAGCUUUUCCGUGUCUGAGGGGUCUUCGAAGGUGAGUAAAACUAGAUGAAUAGUUUAAUGUCUAAAGUAUAACGGCUACAGCUAGCUGUUAGCAUGGUUUUAGCUUUCAUUGACGGAGGAAUUAACGUGUCUUGCAAUGUUACAUCACACACGUUUAAUAAAGGGUAUGAGCAGUUGUUUGCUGGAAUUAUCCCUGAUGGGGUUGUUUUGUUUUAUUUUAUUGUUUGUUUAUUUGAAUGUUUUCCAAGGAAAUGAACCAGUCUAUAUUACAGAUAUAGUGACCAAUAUGAUUGGCGUGUCAAUAACGUUUACUUCAGCGAAAGAGAGAAAGGUUACUCGGUUGUUCUGAUCUUGGGACGUCCUCACCGUUUAGCUAACACCAACUGAUGUGCCUAUGUUAGUGGUACAUGUUGGAAAAAGAUGGAAACUGUUUCAUAAUCACAAAAUCAUUUUACUAAACUGUAUGAUAUGUGUCAUCUCAAGAUUGAAAUUUCACCAUAUACCAUGUGCAAAUAGUAGUUAUCGUCCAGGUGUGGAAAUGUUAUAGGCUGCAGUUGUAAUUCACUAAAUCAAAGUUAAUGUUUAAAGUUAUUGGUAAAAUAAAAAGUCCUGGUUAGGAUCAUUCCUGCCUUGAAAGUUGACCAGAGGGUGAUGUGAUGUUCUCUGCACAACCAAUAGAAAUGCAGAAUGUUGUGAUAGAUGGAUGGAUGUAAAUAAAUAGUGUUGGAAGUAUUUUAUAUUUUAUUGUCAUUUAUUUGCUUUACCUUUAUUUUAUAUUAUCAUCCAUUUUAUUUACCUUUGCAUUUACAUUUUAAUUAUGUGUUUUGAAGUGCGUUGAGUGUUUUAAAGUGUUUGCAGAAACUCUGGAAGCGGCCUGCUGAGGAGUGAUAAAGGAGGCGCCAAUUGUCCAGGGGAACUGCAAAUCUAUAGUCUUACCUUGUUUGUAUAAAUGAGUUAUGUUCAUGUGAGUGUGCAGCUGUUUUCUUUUCCCCCUCCCUUCAGAGCUGCACGCUGUCAUGUAACUAGGGAGUUCCUAAUUCUAAUAAAAGCAGGGCAAAACUCAGUUGAAGCUUCAGAGCAUAGGUAGAAGCAAAUGAAUAGAUAAAUAAUGAAAAUAACACAAUGACCCCAUUGUUGUUCCACACAAUGUUUCCUUGUAUGUGCCAUGUGUAAUAUCUUUUACUAUAAUUAAACUGCAUUCAUAAAUCUGUUAGUGCCAAUAUCCUAAUCGAUCCUUUUAUUUUUUUAAAGGCAAACUUCUUUUCUCCCCUAAUACAGUAGAUAGCUUUUAUAUUACUCACAAUCAGUAUUUUCUUUCAGACUGAAGUACAGAUUUUCUUUCUGUACCAAAUAAAUGCAAUUUUAGCACACAGUCAUUGGAUUAUAUUGUCCUCAUCUCACUUCCAAACUUCGUAGGUCAACCAAUGUGACUAUGCAUCUUGUGACAACACUAAUUUAUAUUGAAAUGCGUGAAGAUGUUGCCAAUGAUAACCUUUCACCUGCCCAUUGAACUUGAUUUCUUGGACUAAAGCUAUGCAAGUUUCAUAUGUUUCAGCAAGUCGCUCAUGCAUUGACUCAGGAAGAAGUCGAACCCUUAAGAACUUCUAGUAUUGCUGCAAUUUUUAGGCAUAACCCUCUGUCAACAUAUCUGAAGCAAAUGAAGACCUUCUUGCCAUAACUCUAUAGAGGUGCAUGACUUGCUAAUAAGGGGUUGCCAUAUUCUAAUUUAGGUGUGCUGGAGUGGGGAUCCCUACUAAAGUUGGAGGACUGGACUUGGUCACCCCAAAUUAAAUUAACAUUUUGAAACUACAGAGCAUUUCUACAAACAUGUAUUUCUGCAAAUAUUUUAGGUUUUUAUGCCUUUUAAGGAAUGCUUAGUGUAAAGGGAAGCUGUAAUAAUCAUCACCCAUGUGAAGAUCCAUCACAUUUUGUGUUUCAGCUCUGUAAUGAUUUUAAGAUAGCUGACUUAUGUAAAGCUCUUAAUCUGACAGAACUAAAAUAAGAAACAAAUAUCCAACAUAAUUUGAACUGUAUUUGUAGCAUCCCUGCACCUAUGAAACAGAACCGUGCCCUGAACCAUGUUAUUGUCUCAUUAAGUGUAAGAGGCUAUGUAUAAUUAUUAAGUGUGUACCUUUAACUAUUUUUAAUUAAUGUUUGAAAAUACAAAUAAAUGGCUUUUUGUCAUGUGACU